GGGCUAGAGAGGAAAACACCUCCACAGGGCUACGUAUGUCACAGGUGCAAGGUACCAGGGCACUUCAUUCAGCAUUGUCCUACAAAUGGUGAUCCAAACUAUGAUAUCAAGAGAGUAAAACCUCCUACUGGCAUUCCAAAGUCAAUGCUGAUGGCAACCCCUGAUGGUUCAUAUGCAUUACCUAGUGGUGCAGUUGCUGUUUUGAAGCCUAAUGAGGCUGCUUUUGAGAAGGAAAUUGAAGGCUUACCUUCUACACGGUCUGUUGGUGAUCUCCCACCAGAGCUUCACUGCCCUUUAUGCAAGGAAGUUAUGAAAGAUGCUGUACUAACAAGCAAAUGUUGUUUCAAGAGCUUUUGUGAUAAGUGUAUAAGAGAUUAUAUCAUCUCAAAGGCAAAGUGUGUAUGUGGGGCGACAAACAUUCUUGCAGAUGAUCUUCUUCCAAACAAGACACUUAGGGAUACAAUCAACCGGAUUUUAGAAUCUGGAAACAGUAGUGCUGAAAAUGCAGGAAGUACCUUUCAAGUUCAAGAUAUGGAGUCCGCUCGCAAUCCACAGCCUAAGAUUCCAUCACCCACACAGUCUGCUGCAUCUAAGGAAGAGCAGAAGCCUUCUCCUGAUAAUGCAGAAACCCCAAAUCCAAAUAGGAAGGAACCAGUGCAUGAGGAGAAGCCUGUUGUUAUCCUACAGCAGUUCCCUGAGAAACCGAGGACUGCCAAAGCAGCUGAUGUAUCUGAGGCUACCCUUGAAUCAAUGAGUGUGAAGGAGCUAGCAUCACAAGGUAGUGCUCCACUGGCUGAGGAGGAAGUGCAGCAGAAGCUGGUCCCUGGUGAGGCAGGGGAGAAAAAGAAGAAGGUUCGCAUGCCUCCAAACGAUUUGUGGAAAGUAUCUCAAGAUCUCACAGCUGAAAGUUAUAUGAUGCCUCUUGGCCCCGCCCCCUAUAAUCCUUAUUGGGGUGGCAUGCAGCCUGGUAUGGAAGGUUAUAUGAAUCCUUAUGUCAGUCCCAUGCCCUUCAUGAGUUAUGGAAUGGGCCCUUUGGAUGUGCCAUUUGGGGGCAUGAUACCUGCCAGACCCUUUUGCUGCACAAGGUUAUAUGAUGCCAGUUGUACCCCCGCAGAGGGAUCUUGCAGAAUUUGGAAUGGGCAUGAAUGCUGGACCUCCAGCAAUGAGCAGGGAGGAAUUUGAGGCUCG
rnacentral:misc_RNA from 1 species